rnacentral:siRNA from 1 species
UUGUUCCGGGCUGCCCAGUCCA